rnacentral:rRNA from 1 species
AACGAACGCCGGCGGCAGGCCUAACACAUGCAAGUCGAACGGACCCUUCGGGGUUAGUGGCGGACGGGUGAGUAACACGUGGGAACGUGCCCUUUGGUUCGGAACAACUCAGGGAAACUUGAGCUAAUACCGAAUGUGCCCUUCGGGGGAAAGAUUCAUCGCCAUUGGAGCGGCCCGCGUCUGAUUAGCUUGGUGGUGAGGUAAUGGCUCACCAAGGCGACGAUCAGUAGCUGGUCUGAGAGGAUGAUCAGCCACAUUGGGACUGAGACACGGCCCAAUCGCCUACGGGAGGCAGCAUUGGGGAAUCUUUCGCAAUGGUCGAAAGCCUGACGCAGCCAUGCCGCUUGAAUGAUGAAGGUCUUAGGAUUGUAAAAUUCUUUCACCGGGGACGAUAAUGACUGUACCCGGAGAAGAAGCCCCGGCUAACUUCGUGCCAGCCGCCGCUGUAACAC